rnacentral:lncRNA from 1 species
CUGGAGUCAUGAGGAACACUUAUUGGCUCAGGGUUUUUUGUGGACACACAUUUUCAACUCAUUUGGAUAGACACCAAAGCGUGUAAUUGCUGGAUUGUAUGGUAAGACUACGCUUAGCUUGUAAGAAACUGCUAGACUGUUUUCCAAAGUGGCUGUACCAUUUUGCACUUCUACCAGCAAUGAAUAAGAGUUCCUGCUGCUCCACAUCCUCACCACCUUUAGUGAAGUUUCUGUUUUGAUCUUUUGCCCAUUUUUAAGUUGCAUCGUUUGCUUUCUUAAUGCUGUUUUAAGAGUUCUCUUCAUAUUUUUGAUAUAAGUCCUUUAUCAGAUGUGUUUUGUAAAUAUUGUCUUCCACUCUGUGACUUGUCUUUUCAUUCUUUUAACAGGGAAAGUAGAACUUUUUAAAAAUCUGUUUUGUUUUCUGUCUUAUCUCGAGUGCCUAGAACAGUGCCUAGUUUAUAAUAGCUGGUCAAUCUAGUGAAUGCUUGCUGAAAGUGGUCUAUAUGCCUUAGGUACAGCUAAGAACAAAGUUGACACUUGAUUGUAAAAACUAAAGAGCUGAUCCAAUUGGAGGACUAUUUCACUCUUCACAGAAUUAAAGCUUUCAUUGACCAACAGCUGUGAUUUUAUCAAAA